UCGUUGAUUGUACCUAGGUUUUUUCACACAAGUUCUCUCAGUUUUGCUCAAGGUGGAAGCUAUGGAACAUAAGAAGGUUGUGAUCGCUCCUGAGAAGUUUUGCAAUGAUCCAAGGGUCUUGUGCCAAACUUGUUCUUGCACAUACAAAGUGGGUAUUGAGUAGGCAAUCUUCCACCUUGAUUUGUGUGUGAAUAGAUAUUCCUGAUAUAUUGAUUUUAAAUCGUUGUUUUUGUUGGACUUUAUUAUAUCAUAUUUCCGUCUAAAUUUGUUAUGUGAAUCAAUAUGCAAAAUUUCAUUUUA